GAAGCUCCGACCCAUGAUGGACAUAGGCUAGAAUCUCCCUGAUAUGAGUCCCAAACUCUCAAAAGAUGACGAUCAUGAAGACUGCCUGUUGUUCUAACAGAUUUGCAAGGAUGGAGUGUGCCAUACCAUAUGGAUGUUCCUGUGGGGGAAGGAACCCAAAGGAAAUAAUGUAUGGAAUAUCUGAACAGAAGUCAUAAAUUAAAGAAUUGACCAAGAACUAAGAAAUAAUGAGUCUGAUGAAAGUAGUAUAGUUGGAUGUGGUUGCAAAUGCCUAUAAUGCCAGCACUCAGGAGGAAGAGACAAGAGGACAGCCUGGUCUACAUAGUGAGUUCAAGGCCAUCCAGGAGCACAUGGCAAGACCCUGUGCCAGAUGAGGCAUGAACACUGAGCUGAAGGACAAUCUGGUUGGUAAAGUGCUUCCUCUGCAAGUAGGGGAACAUAAAUUCAGCCUCCAAGGAAGAAGGAGAAGGAAGAGAGGCUGUCUGCUGAUUAUCUUCAGAUCUGGAGACCGUCCAAUACAGGUGGAUCCUCUAGGCUCAGUGGACACCCAGUGUAGACUACCUGUGGAGCCCCAGACCAUUGAGAGACUCGUGUCUUAAGAAUCAAGGUGGAUGGCUCCUGAGAAAUAACAUGUAGGUUUGUCCUCUGACCUCUGUGAGCAUGGCAACACACACACACACACACUUGUACAUGUACACAGACAUGCAAAUCACAAUAGUGUCUUGUGCCUCCCUAACAUAAAAAAAAAAGUGAAAAGUGAAGCCAGGAAGCCACAAAGGAUGCUUUCACAUGACUUCCCACUAAUAAGUACCACAAAGGGAUGGAUCAGAAUGCAAACUUCAUACAAAGGACAUCUAUAGGAAUGUAUAACUCAUAACCUUGUGUUCAACAUUGGACUGCUACUAUAAUUCUUAAUCAUCAUGACCAAAUAUAGUCAUGUCAAAAUACCUGAUAAAUUAGCUUCUUGUUUUUACUUCCUCUGGCCUCAAUCUCUGGGGCUAUACCCAGUUUCAUACGGCACACACAUAUAGCAGUAUUCCACCCUUCCCAAAUAAAUACCAGUGUCCCUCAGAGACUCUUUGAUGGUGUUUUAUUUAGUUUGACAGCUCAUAAGAUGACCUGAAGAGGUAAAACUAACCUUUUCCUCCUUAGCUAAGCCUGGGCUGGUCAGGGGAGGAUGGCAGUCUCAGAAGCCUGUAGAAGAUUUACAUGUUUAAAGACCAGGCAUUCCCAAAGAUAAGCCAUGAAUUACAGGCCACUGCAAAGCCUUGCAACCACAGAUAAGCUAUGAUCCUCUUUUUCCUAUUACUGGAGACAUGGCUUUAAACCAGAACAGGACUGUCAACUCCUAUGUAAUAAUUUGAACUAUAAAUAUAGCUUUUUCUAUUAUUCUGGUAGCUUAGCUGAUUUGAACACUUGCU